UGGAAAACUGCAGGAGACUUCUCGGCGGGGAGCCAGAAGGUUCCCGGCUCCCACCCUGUGACUGCAAAGGGAAGUCAGGAGGUCUGUGCAUUUCGGGAGCCAGCCUGCAUGGAGGCCUCCCUUUGAAAUCCCCAGCACUCCGUCAAUCCUCGGUACAGGAAGGCCCUGGAUGAAAGGCUGAUGAGAGACGUGUAAAGGGAGCACUUUUGUUUCUAAGCUUAUGGAGAAGGGUGGAGAAUUUUUUAACGGAGCCAAACCACACACGCCUCUAUUGGGGCGUGAAAAACACUCGGACGGGGAACAGCGCGCCUGCCUCCACUUGCCAUGCGCGGCGCACACAAGGCCACAGGAGCGAAACGAGAAAGCGUAUUUACUUAGUGGAAACUCUCAAAUAAUGGCCCUGCCUGCCCCAGCAGUCUAAACACCAAAGACCCUGCUGGAGGGGCAGCUCCUGGGACCCUCAGGAACACGCUUUGGGAAACAGCAGCGUCGCGUCACCAGUCAAAUGGACUCUAAUUGGCCCUGGAGUGCAAUGGUCUUUUUCUUUUUAAUAAGAAACAACAAAUACUACAGCUCCUGCCUCAACAAUAAAAAUGUCUUACAAAGCAAAAGCCUGCGCCUCAAUGUGUCACGGCUGCAUGUCCCUUCACUCCAGCGCAUCAGAAGGAGCCUAGGAUGGCCUCUGGAUCUGUCCUGGAAAAGACUUCAGUAAUCAGACCGUCUCAGGCCACUGGGGUAUUUUUUUCCACAAUGAUUCCUUUUAUUUGUAACAUAUGCGAAAUUAAAAUAAACUUUAUAUGACUUUUUUAUUUCCACAAGCCCUUUA